rnacentral:rRNA from 1 species
AGCGAACGCUGGCGGCAGGCUUAACACAUGCAAGUCGAGCGGGCCCUUCGGGGUCAGCGGCAGACGGGUGAGUAACACGUGGGAACGUACCCUUUGGUUCGGAAUAACGCUGGGAAACUAGCGCUAAUACCGGAUACGCCCUUUGGGGGAAAGGCUUGCUGCCGAAGGAUCGGCCCGCGUCUGAUUAGCUAGUUGGUGGGGUAAUGGCCUACCAAGGCGACGAUCAGUAGCUGGUCUGAGAGGAUGACCAGCCACACUGGGACUGAGACACGGCCCAGACUCCUACGGGAGGCAGCAGUGGGGAAUAUUGGGCAAUGGGCGAAAGCCUGACCCAGCCAUGCCGCGUGAGUGAUGAAGGCCUUAGGGUUGUAAAGCUCUUUUGUCCGGGACGAUAAUGACGGUACCGGAAGAAUAAGCCCCGGCUAACUUCGUG